rnacentral:rRNA from 1 species
AGGACGAACGCUGGCGGCGUGCUUAACACAUGCAAGUCGAGCGAGGCCCUUCCUUCGGGAAGGUGCCCUAGCGGCGAACGGGUGAGUAACACGUGGGCAAUCUGCCCCUAGCACUGGGAUAACUCCGGGAAAACCGGGGCUAAUACCGGAUAUGACCUCUGAGGGCAUCCUCUGGAGGUGGAAAGGAUCCUGGCUAGGGAUGAGCCCGCGGCCUAUCAGCUUGUUGGUGGGGUAACAGCCUACCAAAGGCGACGACGGGUA